rnacentral:rRNA from 1 species
UACAGAGGGUGCGAGCGUUAAUCGGAAUUACUGGGCGUAAAGCGUGCGUAGGUGGUUCGUUAAGUCUGAUGUGAAAGCCCUGGGCUCAACCUGGGAAUGGCAUUGGAAACUGGCGACCUAGAGUGCGGUAGAGGGUAGUGGAAUUCCGCGUGUAGCAGUGAAAUGCGUAGAUAUGCGGAGGAACACCGAUGGCGAAGGCAAUCCCCUGGGCCUGUACUGACGCUCAUGCACGAAAGCGUGGGGAGCAAACAGG